rnacentral:rRNA from 1 species
CAGCCGCCGCGGUAAUACAGAGGUCCCGAGCGUUGUUCGGAUUCACUGGGCGUAAAGGGUGUGUAGGAGGUUGGAUAAGUCAGGUGUGAAAUCCCACAGCUUAACUGUGGAACUGCAUUCGAUACUGUCUGACUAGAGGAUCGGAGGGGGAAGCGGAAUUCUUGGUGUAGCAGUGAAAUGCGUAGAGAUGUGGAGGAAUACCGAUGGCGAAGGCAGCCCCCUGGGCCAAUACUGACGCUCAUGCACGAAAGCGUGGGGAGCAAACAGGAUUAGAUACCCCCGUAGUCCCUGUCUCUUAUAC